CCUGAAACAACAAGCCAAACAAGAUGUUCAUCCGUACCUUUGCAGCUUUUCUCCUCAUAUUCCAUCUAUCUUUACUGGUGGUUCCGGGUGCUGCAACAAACACCACGGCUGCACCGGCAAUGACCACAACGGCUGCGCCGACAACGACCACCACGGCUGCACCGACGACCACCACGGCUGCAUCGACAAUGACCACCACGGCUGCAUCGACAAUGACCACCACGGCUGCAUCGACAAUGACCACCACGGCUGCACUAAAUGCCACUAAUAAUUCCACAUCUACCUUUGCCCCCCUAAUUAUGACACUGUUGCUCUCUCUGGCUUUCACAGCUUCUUCCCUUUUUUAAUGGUGUCACAAACAGAAAGUUUUAAAAGUUGCUGUCAACGCUUAUAAAGAGCUGCAGAAAUCUGGUUUGCCAAUCCGGUUUUGUCCUUGGUGGAGGGAAUAUGUUUUGAUGAAGUACAUCAAACCAGAAUGCAUAGUUGUCCUGAUGUUUACUUGGCAUUUUCAUGGAUUUUAACGUUUACUUAUUCGGGAAAAUCCUUGCACUGUAUUUCUCUGUGUUUGUGGGACAAAGGGUCUUUAAGUUGUAAUUUGCUUCAAAACGUCAAUGUUUUAGGGUGCUUCUAAAAAUGAAUGAAUGUAUGAGUUGGGUCUUAGAUUCUUUCAGUGGAAUAAAGGGGUAAGAGACAUUUCAUUAAAUUUUUGUGCACUGAUGUACUGAUGUGCUUUUUUGCAGUUGUGUGACUAAUUAGGUUUUCCAAACCACAAGUAACUAUUUGUUCAAAACUUUGAAGUGCCAUCAAAAUGUGGCAAUAGAAAGCAUUUUUCAAAAUUCUUUUAACUUCCUGCAUGAGAUUAGCAUGCAAGGUGUAAUAUAUACUAUUUAACCAGCUGAUAUAAACAUGGCGACAAGCUCUAAAAGUCCAUUGUUUUUGUCUGGGCAUUUUAUACUUAGUUAAUUAAUUGAAUUUAUCAAUUUAUCACAACCGUCAUCUAAACUAGGAUUUUAGCUAUUGCCAUUAAUAUCUGAAAGGUGGUAGAUGGUGGUAAAACUUUUUUAAGCCUUGUUUUCAGAUGUAAUGUAAGGAAGUAUGGGCGUACGGAUGCACAAACAAAGCACUGCCCUGAAUCACAUGUGUCUUACAGUUGUAACAGUGCAACCUGCAGUUUAUGUUUGUUGUCAGAACUUAACAGAGAAAAUCUCUCGGCUUGAUUAAUAUUUUGAGUUUUCAGCCCUACAAAAUGUAUAACUUGUAACUUGAAAAAAAAGAGAGAAUAAAGUCUGUAUUUGAAA